rnacentral:rRNA from 1 species
AGCAGCCGCGGUAAUUCCAGCUCCAAUAGCGUAUAUUAAAGUUGUUGCAGUUAAAAAGCUCGUAGUUGAAUUUCGGGAUUGACACAUCGGUCGUGCCUUAAGGGGUAUGAACUGGUGUAGUCAAUUUCUCACCUUCUGGAGAACCGCGAUGCCCUUAAUUGGGUGUCGCGGGGAACCAGGACCUUUACUUUGAAAAAAUUAGAGUGUUUAAAGCAGGCAUUUUGCUUGAAUACAUUAGCAUGGAAUAAUAAAAUAGGACGGCAUGAUUCUAUUUUGUUGGUUUCUAGGAUCACCGUAAUGAUUAAUAGGGAUAGUUGGGGGCAUUAGUAUUCAAUUGUCAGAGGUGAAAUUCUUGGAUUUAUUGAAGACUAACUACUGCGAAAGCAUUUGCCAAGGAUGUUUUCAUUAAUCAAGAACGAAGUUAGGGAUCGAAGACGAUCAGAUACCGUGUAGUCUUAACCAUAAACCUAUGACCGACUAGGAAUCAGACGAUGUUAAUUUUUAUGUAACUCGUUGCUAC